CUCCUUGUCAAUUUGGGCGUAAUUCCUCUCUGUAGUAGAUAAAGUCCGUGAAUAAAACGCAAUAGGAGCCUCAACCCCAUUUCUCAAAGUGUGGCUCAAUACAGCCCCUAUGCCAUAUGGAGAAGCAUCGCAGGUGAGGUUGAGCGGUUUCUCCAAAUCAUAGUGUACAAGUAAACUGUCAGAAGACAACAGGUUUUUAGCAGCGCUGAAAGCGGUAGUAUGAACGUCAG